rnacentral:rRNA from 1 species
AUUGAACGCUGGCGGCAGGCCUAACACAUGCAAGUCGAGCGGAUGAAGGGAGCUUGCUCCUGGAUUCAGCGGCGGACGGGUGAGUAAUGCCUAGGAAUCUGCCUGGUAGUGGGGGAUAACGUCCGGAAACGGGCGCUAAUACCGCACACGUCCUGAGGGAGAAAGUGGGGGAUCUUCGGACCUCACGCUAUCAGAUGAGCCUAGGUCGGAUUAGCUAGUUGGUGGGGUAAAGGCCUACCAAGGCGACGAUCCGUAACUGGUCUGAGAGGAUGAUCAGUCACACUGGAACUGAGACACGGUCCAGACUCCUAAGGGAGGCAGCAGUGGGGAAUAUUGGACAAUGGGCGAAAGCCUGAUCCAGCCAUGCCGCGUGUGUGAAGAAGGUCUUCGGAUUGUAAAGCACUUUAAGUUGGGAGGAAGGGCAGUAAGUUAAUACCUUGCUGUUUUGACGUUACCAACAGAAUAAGCACCGGCUAACUUCGUG